rnacentral:rRNA from 1 species
AUUGAACGCUGGCGGCAGGCCUAACACAUGCAAGUCGAACGAGUGGCGGACGGGUGAGUAAUGUCUGGGAAACUGCCUGAUGGAGGGGGAUAACUACUGGAAACGGUAGCUAAUACCGCAUACCAUCGGAUGUGCCCAGAUGGGAUUAGCUAGUAGGUGGGGUAAAGGCUCACCUAGGCGACGAUCCCUAGCUGGUCUGAGAGGAUGACCGGCCCCACUGGCACUGGGACACGGUCCAGACUCCUACUGGAGGUAGCAUUGGGGAAUAUUGUCCAAGGGGCUAAAGCCUGAUGCAGCCAGGCCGCGUGUAUGAAGAAGUCCUUCGGGUUGUAAAGUCCUUUCAGCGGGGAGGCGUUACCCGCAGAAGAAGCACCGGCUAACUCCGUGCCAGCAGCCGCGGUAAUUC